rnacentral:rRNA from 1 species
UCACACCUACCGAUUGAAUGGUCCAGUGAAGCCUCAGAAUUGUAGCCCUUGCUAUUCAGUUAGUGGGGGGCAUGAGAACUUGUCCAAACCUUAUCAUUUAAAGGAAGGUA